UACGUAGGUGACAAGCGUUGUCCGGAUUUACUGGGCGUAAAGAGCGCGCAGGCGGUCGUUCAAGUCGAGUGUGAAAGCCCCCGGCUCAACUGGGGAGGGUCAUUCGAUACUGAUCGACUCGAAGGCAGGAGAGGGUAGUGGAAUUCCCGGUGUAGUGGUGAAAUGCGUAGAGAUCGGGAGGAACACCAGCGGCGAAGGCGGCUCACUGGACAAGUAUUGACACUCAACAACGAAAGCGUGGGGAGCAAACAGG
rnacentral:rRNA from 1 species